CACAAAGGAAGAUGCUCUUAAGAGUUUGGAUAAAUACAUGUAAUUAAACAUGAACUGAUUCUGUGUCUCCUAGAAAGAAGAAAACUCAGUAAUGAACCAGCUGCUGAAGAUACAGUGAGAAUUUAACCAAAUUUCUCUGAUUAAACAUCACAAAUGUUCUCACUGUUCUCAUAUCUACUAAAAUCAAACAUCACAUCCACCAGACAAUAACCAAUAAACUCUGUAAUAAAUCUA